GGCCAUAUCACAUUGAAACACUGGUUUCCAUAUGAUCACCAAAGUUAAGCAACAUCAAGCCUGGUCAGUAACUAGAUGGCUUACCACUUGGGAAUACCAGGUGCUGUAAG